AACGAACGCUGGCGGCAGGCUUAACACAUGCAAGUCGAGCGCCCCGCAAGGGGAGCGGCAGACGGGUGAGUAACGCGUGGGAAUCUACCCAUCUCUACGGAAUAACGCAUGGAAACGUGUGCUAAUACCGUAUACGUCCUUCGGGAGAAAGAUUUAUCGGAGAGGGAUGAGCCCGCGUUGGAUUAGCUAGUUGGUGGGGUAAAGGCCUACCAAGGCGACGAUCCAUAGCUGGUCUGAGAGGAUGAUCAGCCACACUGGGACUGAGACGCGGCCCAGACUCCUACGGGAGGCAGCAGUGGGGAAUAUUGGACAAUGGGCGCAAGCUUGAUCCAGCCAUGCCGCGUGAGUGAUGAAGGCCCUAGGGUUGUAAAGCUCUUUCACCGGUGAAGAUAAUGACGGUAACCGGAGAAGAAGCCCCGGCUAACUUCGUGCCAGCCGCCGCAGUAAAA
rnacentral:rRNA from 1 species